ACCUCCUCUUCAAACUCUCUCUCUCUCUCUCUCUCUCUUUCACACACACACACACACACACACACAGAGGCUCUUUCUCUUUCUCUGUUUCUUUCCAUGGGUUCCUAUAUACUCUGUGAUGAGAUGAGAAUAAAGGUGAUCUUUGUUAUGGUUUUUCUUUUCUCUUCAGAGUUUGGUCUUCAACAACUUGGUGCAACACUAGGCAUCAACUAUGGCCAAGUAGCAAACAACCUCCCAUCUCCUGACCAAGCCCUGAUCCUCAUAAACUCCCUAAAGAUCACCAAAACAAGGAUCUAUGACACCAACCCUCAAGUUCUUACAGCAUUUGCUAACUCUAGCAUUGAGCUUAUCAUCACUGCACCGAACGAGAUCGUCGGAGAAUUAACAAAUCCACAACAAGCUUUACAAUGGGUAAUGACCAAUGUGCAACCUUAUAUUCCGACAACAAAGAUCACCGGCAUCGCCGUCGGUAACGAAGUCUAUACUACUGAGGAUGAAGCUCUCAUGUCCAACCUAGUCCCUGCCAUGAUUGCCCUCCAUUCAGCUCUAGUCCAACUCAGUCUAGACUCAUCCAUCUAUAUAUCAACAGCUAAUUCUCUUGCAGUGCUUGAGAACUCUUAUCCUCCAUCUUUAGGUUCAUUCAAGCCUGAACUGGUUCCUCUACUUGCCCCAUUCUUACAGUUCUUAGACACAACCAAGGCUCCAUUCUGGAUCAAUGCAUACCCUUACUUUGCUUAUAAAAAUGACCCUAUUAGGGUUCCACUAGACUAUGUCUUAUUUAACCCUAAUUCUACAGGGAUGGUGGAUCCUUACACCAACCUACACUAUGACAACAUGUUAUACGCUCAGGUUGAUGCAGUGACCUUUGCCAUUGCUCGGAUGGGGUAUGAAGGGAUAGAAGUUAGAGUUUCGGAGACCGGUUGGCCUUCGAAAGGCGAUGGCGAUGAGAUUGGUGCAACAAUGGAUAAUGCUAGAGUUUACAAUAGGAACUUGCUACUUAGGCAGAUGGAGAAUGAAGGGACACCAUUGAAGCCAAACCAGAAGUUGGACGUUUACUUGUUUGCUUUGUUUAAUGAGGAUUUGAAGCCCGGACCAACAUCAGAAAGAAACUAUGGUUUGUAUCAGCCUGAUGGCACCCUGGCUUACAAUGUUGGCCUUACCACCCUCACUUCUGGAGCUUCCAUUUCUCUCACUUCUUCUGCUACUUUGGGAUGUAGAGAAGAAGUUGGGAGCUUAUGGUGUUGGAUUUUGAUGCUGGCAUUGCUAAGAAUAAUGAUGAUAUUGUGAAGAAAGGAAUGGCUUUCAUGUGUAUAUAAUUAACUUUGACUCAAGAGGAAAUGAGAAACUAUGAGUCAACUUCUCCAAAAGAAGCAAGGAAAUUAACUUGUGUAUAUAAUGAAGGAAAAGCAAGUAAAGAGAGCUAUGCUUUGCAACGUGGAACGCAUUACAAAGGGUCUAUAAGAUUAGAACUCUUUUCCACUUUGUUGGAAUUUUCUUUAUUAUUAUUUUUUUAAAAAAAAAAGACUUUUUUUUAGUCAAAUAUUGGUGAUUUAAAAAUGGAGGAAAAUGGUCAGUAUAAGUGAAUAAAGACAAUGGGCGAAGUGUGGGGCAAGGUUCUUGCUUUCUGUGGCUUAACUUUAUUCUUAGUCCAUAACCAUAACCUUGUGCAAUGGAUCA